rnacentral:lncRNA from 1 species
AAUCACUGUGGCCUGGAGGAUGGGACACCAUGAUUUGCAAGACUCUGGUCACAUGCCCACACCUGUGGCUUCUGAAGCAGAGCACCAGCAGUGACAGUCCCACCAGAACCGCAUGGAAUAGAAAACUGUGCAUUUCCCUAAGGAAAGGGAAUGCCAGAGAAGGGCAGAAGGGAAAUCAGGAAGACAAAACGGUAAAUUACCUACCACAAAUCCAAUUCAUUGGUAUUUUUCCACUUACACUUAACCAAGCAACGAUUUCUCCUGGUCCCAUAAUGGAAAAGAGGGUUUAUCUAGAUUCAUAUAUACAAGACUGAAGAGUGAAGAGAGACCCAGAGAAUGUUCUAAAAUCUGCCAGUUAGCAUAAUCACACAGAGAAAUCUCUGCUUCCAGAGGAGGAGCCAAGUUCAAGUCAGAGUGUCUUCAUGUUGGAGUGGACCUUUCCUCUAUCUGUCAACAGAAUGGAUAAAUUGUGGAAGAGUAAUAUCAGAAUACUACACAUCAGUAAAAAACAACAAACUUCUGCUACAAACAAUCAACAUCGAUGAAUCUUUCAGGCAAAAGGGUUAAUGCCUACAAUAAGUGUUCUUGAAAUACAGUCACGCGUUGCUUAACCAUGGGGAUAUAUUCUGAUAAAUUCAUCAUUAGGCGAUUUCAUCACUGGGCGAACAUCACAGCUCGUACUCACACAAACCUAGAUGUCAUAGCCUACUACACACCUAGGCUAUAUGAUAUAGGCUAUUGCUAGCAACAAACCUGUACAGCAUGUUACUGUCUUGAAUACUUAGGCAGCAGAGCACAAUGUUAUAGAAACAGAUGAUCAGUGGCCCACGGAUUCCAGGUGAGGAUCUGGGACCCAGACAUCCAGAUAUUGAAAACACAGGGAUGGAGUCUGUAUGGAAAAAAUUAAAAUAUAGCAAAAUGUGAAAUACGGAAGAGAAAUCUUUCAAUUUCCCAAUGGAAGUGAGAAAAGAGCAAAGAAAAGUAUUGGUCUUCCAAAACAAAUAGAGGACGGAGCUGCUGCUGUUGCAUGGUGUCUAGAAACUCAGACAACUUCAUCAUUCCAUAUUUGCAUCCAAGAGAGAGAAAGAAAAACUACAAUCAUUUUCCAUUUACCCAUCAACCCAUCAACCUCCAAAUAAAGGCUAUUAAAAAACAAUCAAAGUGUGAAGAGGGCAGAAAAUGUGAUGAAGAGAUUCUUUGGAGAAAGUAGCUGCCACUGUUACCUUGGGAUCUGCCUAUAGUCCUCACAGAGCUUGCCCUUGCAGGAUAGAACAUAGGAGUCUGGGAGUCUGCAAGAAGAGACAGGGUCUCACUAUGUUGCCCCAGUUGGCCUUGAA